rnacentral:rRNA from 1 species
GUGCCGUUCAAAUAGGGCGGCACCUUGACGGUACCUAACCAGAAAGCCACGGCUAACUACGUGCCAGCAGCCGCGGUAAUACGUAGGUGGCAAGCGUUGUCCGGAAUUAUUGGGCGUAAAGGGCUCGCAGGCGGUUUCUUAAGUCUGAUGUGAAAGCCCCCGGCUCAACCGGGGAGGGUCAUUGGAAACUGGGGAACUUGAGUGCAGAAGAGGAGAGUGGAAUUCCACGUGUAGCGGUGAAAUGCGUAGAGAUGUGGAGGAACACCAGUGGCGAAGGCGACUCUCUGGUCUGUAACUGACGCUGAGGAGCGAAAGCGUGGGGAGCGAACAGGAUUAGAUACCCUGGUAGUCCACGCCGUAAACGAUGAGUGCUAAGUGUUAGGGGGUUUCCGCCCCUUAGUGCUGCAGCUAACGCAUUAAGCACUCCGCCUGGGGAGUACGGUCGCAAGACUGAAACUCAAAGGAAUUGACGGGGGCCCGCACAAGCGGUGGAGCAUGUGGUUUAAUUCGAAGCAACGCGAAGAACCUUACCAGGUCUUGACAUCCUCUGACAAUCCUAGAGAUAGGACGUCCCCUUCGGGGGCAGAGUGACAGGUGGUGCAUGGUUGUCGUCAGCUCGUGUCGUGAGAUGUUGGGUUAAGUCCCGCAACGAGCGCAACCCUUGAUCUUAGUUGCCAGCAUUCAGUUGGGCACUCUAAGGUGACUGCCGGUGACAAACCGGA